rnacentral:rRNA from 1 species
UGACCUCGAAUCAGGUAGGGAUACCCGCUGAACUUAAGCAUAUC